CAUGGUUAAGUGGGAAACGAUGUGGGAAGGCCCAGACAGCCAGGAUGUUGGCUUAGAAGCAGCCAUCAUUUAAAGAAAGCGUAAUAGCUCACUGGUCGAGUCGGCCUGCGCGGAAGAUGUAACGGGGCUAAACCAUGCACCGAAGCUGCGGCAGCGACACUAUGUGUUGUUGGGUAGGGGAGCGUUCUGUAAGCCUGUGAAGGUGUGCUGUGAGGCAUGCUGGAGGUAUCAGAAGUGCGAAUGCUGACAUAAGUAACGAUAAAGCGGGUGAAAAGCCCGCUCGCCGGAAGACCAAGGGUUCCUGUCCAACGUUAAUCGGGGCAGGGUGAGUCGACCCCUAAGGCGAGGCCGAAAGGCGUAGUCGAUGGGAAACAGGUUAAUAUUCCUGUACUUGGUGUUACUGCGAAGGGGGGACGGAGAAGGCUAUGUUGGCCGGGCGACGGUUGUCCCGGUUUAAGCGUGUAGGCUGGUUUUCCAGGCAAAUCCGGAAAAUCAAGGCUGAGGCGUGAUGACGAGGCACUACGGUGCUGAAGCAACAAAUGCCCUGCUUCCAGGAAAAGCCUCUAAGCAUCAGGUAACAUCAAAUCGUACCCCAAACCGACACAGGUGGUCAGGUAGAG
rnacentral:rRNA from 1 species